CGAGAAAUCUGGGAAGCUUUUUUGAUAGCGGAGGGGGGUGACAAGUGCGCUUCCAUUGGGUUGACAACGAAGGAAAGGGAAUUUGUUAGCUCUUUUAAGGAACGGUUGUUGUUGAAAAAUAAAUGUUGUUAGUGCGCUAACUGUGUGUCCGUCGUCCUCGUGUUUUUAGCGCUUUUAUUCUGCCAUGCCUUACCAACAGGCCCAGUCUGAAGUUUUAAGUAAGUUCUUCUGGUACCUACGUUAUACGUACCAUAACGCAAUACAAGGGCCAACGUUUGCCAAGAUGAUGUGCUGCUUACCUGUAUUCGGCCCCCACCCCUGUCAUUGGUAGGAUACGCGAGUCAGCUUGGCAUAUAUGGGGUACCUUGCAUUAGACGCCACCUGCCUUGUGUUCGAGGAGAUGAGUUGCUGGCAAAGACAUAGAAAGAAUAUGAACUUCUACGACCAUUCACUUGAGCCACUGGAACACACGAGCAGCCAUGCCAAUGUGGUUGAUAUGUGGCACUAACGAAAUAUCCGUUGACAGUAGAGCCUCAAGACUGAUAGAAACGGACAUAGUGUUGUCCUCGUUUUCGUUAUCUCCGUAGUCUCGGGCAUAUAUGCUACCAUGUAUUCUAACCUGGUUUGAUACGAGGGUCCUGGCACUUCAGUUAUUGACUUUACAUCCGUUAAUUGUAUCAUGUCUCGUGAAAAGCUCCACGCGCUUCUUCUCGUCCGGAAAGAAAUCAGAGGCCGCAGUCACACUUUAAUUCAACGGCUUUUUGUAUGCCUUUGAAUGUAAUCUUUUCCAGUUCCAUGGAGAACAGUAAGGACUGCGUACCGAAAAUACUACAAAACAAAGGAUGCGGCGAUGAGAUUGCAGCGGCUUUCGUUGCACAGAAGAAGAAGUCAAUGGUGGUAACGUGUGGAACGUCGAUCCGGAACUGUGAAUUCAACAAGAGCAAGAGUACUGGGCACACAAUAUAUCCCAUGUGGACAUUGACAACGUUCCUCUUUGUGACGACCGGCUGGGCUUGGUCUCUAGUAGAUUAGCUACUUCGCAUUCUAAUAAUUAUUGUUCCUCGUCUACUCAAAGAUACCUUUAAGCUUCUCGACUUGUCAAGUCCUGCAGUCAUUCGAGCAUUCUCUCGAACUAUUACUUGCAUCCAGCCUGAUGUAUCCGUUACGGACCCACGUCUUUGACAGCCAAGCGUCAAGCAUGUAACCCGGCAAUUGGAGUGGACUUGUGUUGUUGUUUUCUGUUUUCGACAUUGCGCUACGACUCUGUACAACGAUAGAACCAAAAGGAAGAUUUACUCCGUUCUGGCAUUUGCAAUUACAUUUUGCCAUGCGUCUGCCACUUGUAAAAAUAUCUUUUUUUUUUCCUUCCCGCUUAAUAGAUAAUUUACUUGGACGUCAGGAACCAUGAAUGACGUACGGGAUUUUCCACGUAGAAGGGUGUAAUGAACAGUCCAACUUCUAAUAAUUCCCACGAAAAUAAAGGUCAGAGAAAACUAA